UACGUAGGGUGCGAGCGUUGUCCGGAAUUAUUGGGCGUAAAGCGCACGUAGGCGGUUCGUUAUGUCAGAUGUGAAAGCCCUUGGCUCAACUGAGGAAGUGCAUCUGAAACUGGCGAGCUAGAGUAUGUAAGAGGGUCGCGGAAUUCCCGGUGUAGAGGUGAAAUUCGUAGAUAUCGGGAGGAACACCGAUGGCGAAGGCGGCGACCUGGGACAAUACUGACGCUGAGGUGCGAAAGCGUGGGGAGCAAACAGG
rnacentral:rRNA from 1 species